UCUACGGUGGCUGCAGUGGGGAAUAUUGGACAAUGGGCGAAAGCCUGAUCCAGCCAUGCCGCGUGUGUGAAGAAGGCCUUCGGGUUGUAAAGCACUUUCAGUGGGGAAGAAAGCCUUGGGGCUAAUACCCUCGAGGAAGGACAUCACCCACAGAAGAAGCACCGGCUAACUCCGUGCCAGCAGCCGCGGUAAUACGGAGGGUGCGAGCGUUAAUCGGAAUUACUGGGCGUAAAGCGCGCGUAGGCGGUCUGAUAAGCCGGUUGUGAAAGCCCCGGGCUCAACCUGGGAACGGCAUCCGGAACUGUCAGGCUAGAGUGCAGGAGAGGAAGGUAGAAUUCCCGGUGUAGCGGUGAAAUGCGUAGAGAUCGGGAGGAAUACCAGUGGCGAAGGCGGCCUUCUGGACUGACACUGACGCUGAGGUGCGAAAGCGUGGGUAGCAAACAGGAUUAGAUACCCUAGUAGUC
rnacentral:rRNA from 1 species